rnacentral:snRNA from 1 species
AUACUCACCUGGCAGGGGAGAUACCAUGAUCAUGAAGGUAGUUUUCCCAGAGUGAGGCUCAUCCAUUGCACGCCGGGUGUGCUGACCCAUGAGAUUUCCCCAAAUGCGGGAAACUCCACUGCAUAAUUUGUAGUGGGAAACUGGUUCUGCUUUUCCCU